rnacentral:misc_RNA from 1 species
AGAAAUACCUAAUGUGUAAUUUGCCUUCAUUUCUGUAAAAGAAUAUGCAUCUUAUUCCAAAUAUAAACCUGGAAUCUAGACCACAGAAUAUAUAUACAUAUAUAUAUAAACAGCAGAGAAAAACCAAUAAGAUUUAAAUUUCUUGCUUCCUUUCCUUCUUCAAUUGACAAAAGAAAUCUAUUCUUGAAUUCUUCUCUUCACUUAUACCCUAUCUUCCCCAGUAGCAUCCUACAUUACAGCGUAAAUAAAAACUAUUCCUACCUCUUCUGUCAACCUUUACAUCUCAGAAAUUUCUACACUGAAAAAGCAAGCCAACCUCAUCAUUUAUCUUCAGACUGGAUCAAUCAUAAUUCAUUUUCCAACAAGAUCAGACAUUAUUCAUCCUAUACCUCCCAUAAGGUCAGAUUUUUAUAUUCAUAGCAGCCAAAGAAAAGAAAGAGAGAACAAAAGAAGCCACUAACAGCAAUCAGUUCAAACUCCCAAGUCAGUUUCAGACAUCUAGCAAAUCAAGAAUCUGACUCUGAUUCAGACGAACUCACUGCAGAUGAAGCAACUCCACAGCUAUUAUUCUGAGAGUCACGUGCUAUUCUUGGUCGCACUUUGUGGAGAAUUUGCGAUGAAGGCCUUACUCUCAUGUACUCCUCAUAGAAAGCCCUGAUCUCUUCCUCCGUAAGGCCUUCAUCUUCUCCAGCAUUUUCAUCCCAA